rnacentral:rRNA from 1 species
AGAUUGAACGCUGGCGGCAGGCCUAACACAUGCAAGUCGAGCGGUAGAGAGGUGCUUGCACCUCUUGAGAGCGGCGGACGGGUGAGUAAUGCCUAGGAAUCUGCCUAGUGGUGGGGGAUAACGUUCGGAAACGGACGCUAAUACCGCAUACGUCCUACGGGAGAAAGCGGGGGACCUUCGGGCCUCGCGCCAUUAGAUGAGCCUAGGUCGGAUUAGCUAGUUGGUGAGGUAAUGGCUCACCAAGGCGACGAUCCGUAACUGGUCUGAGAGGAUGAUCAGUCACACUGGAACUGAGACACGGUCCAGACCUCCGUACGGGAGCAGCAGUGGGGAAUAGUUGGAACAAGUGGGACGAAACGCCUAGACUCCAAGCCAUGCCGCGUGGUGUAGAAGAAGGUUCUUCGGAAUUGUAAAGCUAACGUUUAAGGUGGGAGUAAGGUUUGUAACUUAAGUACGUU